UUGAAUAUUCUUGAUGGGUUGUAGCUGGUUCUUCGGAGCAUGUGCACGCCUGUCUUGACUUUAUUCAUCCACCUGUGCACCUUUUGUAGUCUUGGGGGUUGAGUGCAGUCGACCGUCGGAGUCUAUCCGGAUGUGAGGAAUGCAGAGUGCGGAAGCAUACAGCUCUCUUCAAAACGCUUGCAGAACCUCUCCCUCGAGUACUAUGUAUUCAUAUACACAUAGUAUGUCGUAGAAUGUGAUCAAUGGGCCUUGUGCCUAUAAUAAUCAUAUA
rnacentral:misc_RNA from 1 species